GCUUGAGCACGUAGGUGGGUUUGUAAGUCAGGUGUGAAAGCCUUCUGUUCAACGGGAGAAUUGCAUCUGAAACUACGAAUCUUGAGUGUAGGAGGGGAGAAUGGAACUUCUGGUGGAGCGGUGAAAUGCGUAGAUAUCAGAAGGAACGCCGGCGGCGAAAGCGAUUCUCUGGCCUAUUACUGACACUCAGUGUGCGAAAGCUAGGGGAGCAAACGGGAUUAGAUACCCCGGUAGUCCUAGCCGUAAACGAUGGGCACUAAGUAGAGGGGAUUACCGACGUUCUCUCUGCCGUAGCUAACGCAUUAAGUGCCCCGCCUGGGGAGUACGGCCGCAAGGCUAAAACUCAAAAGAAUUGACGGGGGCUCGCACAAGCGGUGGAGCAUGUGGCUUAAUUCGAUGCAACGCGAAGAACCUUACCGGGGCUUGACAUGGUAGAAGUAGGAACCCGAAAGGGUAACGAACGGUAUCCAGUCCGUAGCUAUCACAGGUGUUGCAUGGCUGUCGUCAGCUCGUGUCGUGAGACGUUGGGUUAAGUCCCCUAACGAGCGAAACCCUUGUUUUUAGUUACCAGCGGGUUGUGCCGGGUACUCUAGAAAGACUGCCGUCGUCAAGACGGAGGAAGGUGGGGAUGACGUCAAGUCAUCGUGGCCCUUAUGCCCCGGGCUGCACACGCGCUACAAUGGUCGGUACAAACGGAAGCGAAGCCGAGAGGUGAAGCGAAUCCAAGC
rnacentral:rRNA from 1 species